GUUGAACGCUAGCUACAGGCUUAACACAUGCAAGUCGAGGGGUAGCAGGGUAGCAAUACCGCUGACGACCGGCGCACGGGUGAGUAACACGUAUCCAACCUUCCCAUAACUCGGGGAUAGCCUUUCGAAAGAAAGAUUAAUACCCGAUAGUACUUUUUCAAGGCAUCUUGAGAAAGUUAAAGAUUUGUUGGUUAUGGAUGGGGAUGCGUUCCAUUAGAUAGUUGGUGAGGUAACGGCUCACCAAGUCUUCGACGGAUAGGGGUUCUGAGAGGAAGGUCCCCCACAUUGGUACUGAGACACGGACCAAACUCCUACGGGAGGCAGCAGUGAGGAAUAUUGGUCAAUGGGCGAGAGCCUGAACCAGCCAAGUAGCGUGAAGGAUGAAGGUCCUAUGGAUUGUAAACUUCUUUUAUAGUAGAAUAAAGUGAUCCACGUGUGGAUUUUUGUAUGUAUACUAUGAAUAAGGAUCGGCUAACUCCGUGCCAGCAGCCGCCGUAACAC
rnacentral:rRNA from 1 species